CAGCAGCCGCGGGAAUACGUAGGGUGCAAGCGUUAAUCGGAAUCACUGGGCGUAAAGCGUGCGUAGGCGGUGAGUUAAGUCUGCUGUGAAAUCCCCGGGCUCAACCUGGGAAUGGCAGUGGAUACUGGCUCGCUAGAGUGUGUCAGAGGAUGGUGGAAUUCCCGGUGUAGCGGUGAAAUGCGUAGAGAUCGGGAGGAACAUCAGUGGCGAAGGCGGCCAUCUGGACAACACUGACGCUGAGGCACGAAAGCGUGGGGAGCAAACAGGAUUAGAUACCCCUGUAGUCCCUGUCUCUUAUACA
rnacentral:rRNA from 1 species